rnacentral:lncRNA from 1 species
UACAUGCUUUUGCAUAAAGACAUAAAUGAGAGAUUAAGAAAUGUUAAAGAAGACAUUAAUUGGAAGAAGAUUUAAAAGGAGCAGAAGGAAAAGUGGCCUAUCACCAGAUCUAAGCAGAUCCAUGCCUAUCUUCUUAGUUCUCUACUUGAUCUCAGAGAUUACUUUUGUUCUCAGAGAAGAAAGAGCACAAGGUGGCCAAGUAAAUCAACAGGUCAGAAGAUUAGGCAGAUGUGCUGUAGAUACACAAUGGAAUACUACUCAGCCAUAAAAAAAGAAUGACAUAAUGCCAUUUGCGGCAACAUGGAUGGAACUUGAGACUCUCAUCCUGAGUGAAGUAAGUCAGAAAGACAAAUACCAUAUGAUAUCACUUAUAUCUGGAAUCUAAUAUACAUCACAAAUGAACCUUUCCACAGAAAAGAAAACCAUGGACUUGGAGAAUGGACUUGUGAUUGCCAAGAGGGAGGGAGAGGGAGUGGGAUGGAUGGGGUGCUUGGGUCAAUAGAGGCAGACUAUUGCCUUUGGAAUGAAUAAUCAGUGAGACCCUGCUGUGUAGCACUGGGAACUAUGUCUGGUCACUUAUGAUGGAGCAUGAUAAUGUGAGAAAAAAGAAUGUAUACAUGUAUGUGUAGCUGGGUCACCAUGCUGUACAAAAGAAAAUUGACACAACACUGUAAACCAGCUAUAAUGGAAAAAAAUAAAAAUCA